AGAGACCUCUUGCUGGGAGGUGGCUGUGAAGGGAUUGUGUAGGAAGAAAACAAUGUACGGAAGAGUUAGCCAGAAACUGUUAGACUUCAGCCCAAAGAAGACUUUAAAAUGGGAUUUGUGGUCAUAAAUAGAACAGCACAUCAAUAGCACUAGAAGAACUUAUUGACCUGGAAAGAUCAAUCAGUCUGGAGGCUGAAUAUUUAUCUAUGCUUCAAGAAUAUUUUUCUGCCCAUUACCUUGUUGAUCAGAGCUUUAGAACAUUAUCAGCUUGAAUAAAUGUCCAAAUUCCUGUUCCA